rnacentral:rRNA from 1 species
AUUGAACGCUGGCGGCAUGCUUUACACAUGCAAGUCGAACGGUAACAGGCCGCAAGGUGCUGACGAGUGGCGAACGGGUGAGUAAUGCAUCGGAACGUGCCCAGUCGUGGGGGAUAACUACUCGAAAGAGUAGCUAAUACCGCAUACGAUCUAUGGAUGAAAGCGGGGGACCGUAGGGCCUCGCGCGAUUGGAGCGGCCGAUGUCAGAUUAGGUAGUUGGUGGGGUAACGGCUCACCAAGCCAACGAUCUGUAGCUGGUCUGAGAGGACGACCAGCCACACUGGAACUGAGACACGGCCCAGACUCCUACGGGAGGCAGCAGUGGGGAAUUUUGGACAAUGGGCGCAAGCCUGAUCCAGCAAUGCCGCGUGCAGGAAGAAGGCCUUCGGGUUGUAAACUGCUUUUGUACGGAACGAAACGGCUCUGGUUAAUACCCGGGGCUAAUGACGGUACCGUAAGAAUAAGCACCGGCUAACUACGUG